UACCUGCAGCUCAAGUGGUAACCGCUAUUAUUGGGCCUAAAGCGUCCGUAGCCGGUUUGGUAAAUAUCUGGGUAAAUCGUGAGGCUUAACUUCACGAAUUUCGGAUAGACUGCCAGACUUGGGAUCGGGGGAGGUCAGAGGUACUCCAGGGGUAGCGGUGAAAUGUUGUAAUCCUUGGAGGACCACCGGUAGCGAAGGCGUCUGACUAGAACGAGUCCGACGGUGAGGGACGAAGCCCUGGGGCGCAAACCGGAUUAGAUACCCGGGUAGUCCAGGGUGUAAACAAUGUGGGCUUUGUAUUGGAGGUCCCACGUGGGCGUCCAGUGCAGAAGAGAAGUUGUUAAGCCCACCGCCUGGGAAGUACGGUCGCAAGGCUGAAACUUAAAGGAAUUGGCGGGGGAGCACAGCAACGGGAGGAGCGUGCGGUUU
rnacentral:rRNA from 1 species